AGAGGAAAGGCAGCCCUAAAGGGAAUACAGUUUUUGUCUGGUGCCCAGAGCCUAUCUACCCCUACUUGGGCUGCCAGAGAGUGGAGCUUGGGACACGACCAGUGUGGAAUAGGAUGGAAAAAAUAUUUCUCUGUACACUGAUCACCACACUGCUUGCAGCAGGGAGCUAUCAACCGAGAACCAACUACAUAAGGGGGUUGUUAUUUGUGGAGGAGCUUUCAGGUCCUCUAAACCUACCUCCCACUCUCGGCAGGAAUCCCUUAUAGAACCUCCCUGUGGGAUGAACGUUAGCUUGGCCCUGAUCCCUGCAUUAACAGGUAGCGCUGUUUACUAUAAAGUAAAUUCAGAUUCCAGGACCUCCACCUUGGUUGUUUCUGAUUUGGCAGGGUUGGGGCGGGGCUUUGAGCAUUCGCCUUUUCAAAUAAUGCUCGAGGUGAUUCUGAUGUCAGCCAGAGUUGAGAGAGAAGAUUGUUAUGAAAGGACACAAAUACCUCAUCACGGUGCUUUUUGUUUGUGAAGUGCUCACUAAGGCGUGAACAGCGUCAUGGUGGGGCUCCUGCAGGCUUUAUAUUUAUACCCCGUUUCUUAUUUCUCACACCCACUCUGGUAGAUAGAUCCCUAUUUCAAAAAUGAGUGAAUUAGGGUUCAGGGAAGUGAAACCUGUGUGCCGGCUGGGGACUGACAGUUGGAACCCCAAUGUACAAAUGAAACCAGGGAACAGUGGGUGUGACGAGCACUUGAGGAGCGACAGAGAGUUAUGACCUCGAACCCACAAGUGAGACUGCAAACACAAGUAGGUGGGAGCCCAGCGGCAGGAGACUGACACUGCUGGAAUCAGGGAGGGGGCAGUGCUGUUUAAGAGCUUCUGACACACUCAGUUCCUCCCUUCAUCCUAAGAGACCUGGGCUCACUAGCAGAGGGGCUUUGGCAAGUUACUUGAUGGAUUAGGGCCUCAGUUUCUUCAUCUGUGAAGUGGAGAUAAUAAUAGUGCCUGCCUCCUGCUGCAAGUCUAGUCAUCAGUAUCAUCAACAUUGGUGGUACACCUGCUGGGUACCAGUCCUGGGGUGGGCGUGCUCCUCUCUAGAAGAUAAAAGCCCAUAUAGAGACUAUGGUGGAAGGAGCAGGACAAGAGAAUCAGAAGCUCACCUCAUUCUUAAUGUGAAGAGACAUUAAGAUCAGGAAAGCCAGAUGCUUGAUGUUCUCUCUCAUACCCAUAGCAGAUGGGUGCCUCACUGGGUUCCCCCAGAAGCUGAUGGUGAGCAGGGGGGUGGCAGCCACUUUUAUUUUCUCUUUUCUUUUCUUGUCUUCUUUUCUUUUCUUGGAUCUUACUCUGUCACCCAGGCUAGAGUGCAGUAGUGUGAGUAUGGCUUAUUGCAGCCUUUAACUCCUGGGCUCAAGCAACCCUCCUGUCUCAUCCUCCUAAGUAGGUGGGACUACAGGUGUGUGCCACCAUGCCCAGCUAAUUUUUGUUGUAGAGAUGGGGUCUCACUCUAUUGCCCAGGCUGGUCUUGAACUCCUGGCCUCAAGCAAUCCUCCUGCCUCAGUCUCCCAAAGUGCUGUGAUUGCAGGUGUGAGCCACUGCACUCAGCCAGCAGCCACCCAUUUCUUACAGCUGCUCCAGUGUGAGGGGGUAACAAAAGGCUGCUUUCAAGGCAGCAGCCCAGCCCCCAUGUUUCCUGCCUGGUCCCUGAGGAGUGCACAAGUGAUCAGGAGAGAUUCUUCUUUUGGUCACAGGGAUCUUAAUGAUCACUGGGACUUGGGCUGUUUAAGAUGUCACUUAGAAGUUCAAAUCUACUUCCAGAUGGCUUCCAAGCGAGGGAUGGCCUCUACAGUGAGGCCAAUCAUGUGGUAUAUUCUUACCUAAGUGGGCCUUGCUGCCCUGCACAAUGGCAUCUCGGCCCAUGGGCCAGCCUCGUAAGGUCUUUAAACCUAUGACCACCAGGUGAUCUUCUCUGGGGAGCAGCAGAACUUCCAUGAGUCUGUCCAGGGAUCUUAUUUAGAGAUGAGUCAUACUUUUCUACGCUGUCAGCUCUAGGUUGAAGUAGAAUGUACCAGCAACAGACUAGGAUGACCUCGCAGCUAGCUGUCCAUAGGAAUACACCUCUUCUUUCUUCCAACCUCUCAGUUUCCUGGCGUUUCCUCUAAGUUAAUGUCUUGCUAGAAUGGUUUGAGUUGACAUUAACUGUCUGCUAUGUUUUAUGCAGCACAUGGCCACCUACCAAGUGGCACUUUCCAUUUUGGGUAUGGGGAGCAGGGUAUAUUUUAUACCUCCAAUCCCAUUGUUCUUUAUGAAUCUUUGUUCCUUCACCCCUCACUUCCCAAAUCGAUCACUUUGCUUCUUGAUUAUGAUAUCCCUGUGGGUGAACCCGUAGAUAGCAGAAACUGAGCUGUCUCUGCUGUUGAUAAUUUUAGCUCUUCUUGGAACUCCUUUCUUUUUGCAAAUGCCAACCAGGUGUCCCCAAGUAAGAGAUGAUACUUGUUUGUUUGGUAAAGGCACCCAGAUAAGAAGAGUCAGAAUGAACAGCUCCAAAAGAGAAGUGGUUUCCUCGGUCACCGACUCACCACAUUAAACAUUCACCCUGGCUCACUGUCUGAAAUGAGUCAGUGGUCCUUUCAGAAUUCCCUUUACAACAGUGUUUCAAAGAAAUCUGUGACUGAGGUUGCAAAUCAUUUUUUCUUCACUGCA
rnacentral:lncRNA from 1 species